GAUGAACGCUGGCGGCGUGCUUAACACAUGCAAGUCGAACGAGAAGUGGAGACGGAAACCUUCGGGCGGAAGACUUUACUUCGAGUGGCGGACGGGUUAGUCACGCGUGGGUAACCUGCCUCAUACAGGGGGAUAACAGUUGGAAACGACUGUUAAUACCGCAUAAGACCACAGCACCGCAUGGUGCGGGGGUAAAAGCUCGGGUGGUAUGAGAUGGACCCGCUUUCGAUUAGCCAGUUGGCGGGGGAACGGCCCACCAACGCGACGAUCGAGAGCCGAUAGGGGAGGCGGCCCGACCAGAUUGGGAAUGCGACCCGGACCAAAACCCUAGGGGAGGCAGGAGAGGGGAACAUUACGCAAGGGAGGAUACCCUGAUGCCGCGACGCCGCGGAAGAGAAGAAUUGUUUCGGAAUGUACAGCUCUAUCAGAAGAGAAGAGAAUGACAGUACCGGAGAAAGAAGCACCGGCUAACUACGUG
rnacentral:rRNA from 1 species